GUAACAAUAUGAUGAUGUGAUUCUGGUCUUUAGGAGAAAAACGGAAUUGCACAAUCAAACUCAGUUCUGGCUGCUUUGGCUUCUAGUGAGAAAAGUAUCAUGAGACUCAUCUAAAGGCUGAUCCUGGUAUCAGGAGUAGUGGGACAACCAGUUAGUUAUUCAUAUCUCCUGGGGUCAUGAAUUCUGAUGUCACAGUAUCACCUGUGAUGCAGUCUAGCCAAAGAUGUUUAACUUGGGUCUAAUCAACAUGUAGAUGUAACUUCCAGGAAAUACAAAGGAGAGAGAAACAAGAUAAAUGACACCGCUGGCAAGCAUGGUGGGAUCUCUAUAGGCCACUGGCCAAGCGGCUGCAAUAAGAAGCUACCCACGAAGACACUGGCGGCUGGAUUAAAAGAUGGAGAGAGAACAACAGCUAGGUGCAAUAAAGGUAACCACGCCUGUGCAGCUCCCAGGAGAUCCAGAUCCACCGAAAGAAGUGCAAUCCUUCCUGACAGGCAGCCUUUCGUGCAGAGAAGAAGGAGCUUCUCCAAUGGUCACAUGAAUAGAAAAUGUUGAAGAGACCUGCCUCUUUCAGAGGAAGGGUAAAUAGAAUUCCAACCACGUUGAAAAACACCUCUCCCCCUGCUUAUUGAAGAAGGAUACUCAGCAACAAUUCAAAAGACUGAGGUCUACAUGUACUGAUGAAGAAUGACCUUCAAGCUUCAUUAUUCAGAAAGCUUCAUGUCCACCAUGCUGUCAGCUCUAUGAGGGCAAGCCUGCCUGAUUCAACAGCUGUGUUCACAGAAUUAUGGCUGGAAAAGCAAAUGUGGGAUAACUAAGUUUGGAUAAAUAAAUGAAUGUGUAA